CUGAGUCCGAACCAGAGGAAGGCCAAGUGCAUUUUGGAGUAGAGGCCCGCAGGGUUAACUGGACUCUACACUCCAGGCUAAAAUGCAUCUGGAAGAAAUUCACAAGUUCAGGUCAAGAUGACUUUAAUCUUUCCAAAGAACAAAAAAAUGGAAGAAUCUCAAUUGUGUGCACAUGGAGACUGCAGGACUUUGAAGAGAAUAAUCCUCCAGAAAUGGGCAGGAAAUUGGACAAUCUUGCUGAGAAAUCUACUUUCCUCCAGCAUCAAGGUAGCAUGCAAAGCAUAUCAGGAGGACCUUUACACCAAUACUGGCAUGAUCAAAAGUUACAAAAGUGUAUUUAUUUAAUAGUGGUUGUCUUUUUUUAACCAUUAAUCUCAAUAAAACAUACCAAAAAAAAAGAAUGGCAACAUGUUAAAGCAACUCAACAGAUAUAAAAUAAAAUAAAUGCUUUUCACUAAGUUUAAGGUGUUACUAUGUCACUCUGUGCAGUCUCUACAGAAUAAGGUAAUUGUUUAAAAGGUUGUUUGAGUAUUUCUGUUCACAGAAA